AUGCGUCUCGAACAGGUAACCGUGAUAACAUUUGCGAGAUGGCUUGGCAGCAGCGUGGAGUCGGACCUUCGUCGGCAGCCACCACAGAUGCGCAUUUUCUCCCGCCCGACCUUGCCGAGUUUUCUCCUGCCAGCAGCCCGGGAAGUGGAACCGAGCGGAAGGCAAAACAGGUCAGCCGAGCUCAUGACUCUCAAUGCGCCCAGGAACGGGGUAGAGUGGACUUGUCAGUGCAUGGAACACGGUGGCGAGGGGAGGAUGGUCUGCACGUGUCCCUGUGACCUCAGUGCCCCUGCCCCAGCUGCCACUCUCCGUGGUGGGGACGGUGGUCUUGUGCUGUCGCCGCAGGUUUCCUGGCAAGACGGUGCCCUGGGUGCCCAGCACGGCGACGGGCUCCACGAGGCCCUGUUCUUGGUUCCUUUCCCUCCUCCCCCGCUUCACUUCCCUGCUCCCUCGGCCAAGGUUUCACCCCCCCCCCCCAUACACCACUUGCUCUCAAACAGGUUUGCUUCUGGGGAAGCCCAAGGCAAGACACUCAGAGAAGGUUUUACCAGACGGGAGGAGGUGGUUAGUGGACAACACCCGGAUGUAGACAAGGCCUGUGGCUGUUUACCUGGCUUCUGCCCAGGUCUGGCGCCAUCCCGUGCCCGGCUACACCACCAGCCCCUGCUGUGUGGAGCUAUCUGGUGGGCAGACUGGUGGGGUCUGCACGGGCACCCGUCCCCCGCCCCUGGAGCAUCUGCUAAUCCCAGGCGCUGUGCAAGUGCCCUCUCCUGGACUAUGCAUCCCCCACUUCUCCCCGCCCAGACUCCCCUGCACCACCUCCUCGGGAAUCUUCCCUGAGCUUCUGGCUAGACUGUCAUGUGCCCCUUUGGGCCCCUGCAGGGUCCUGCACGCUGUGACAUUGUGGCGUGUGCCAUGUGGUUUUGCUCCUUCUCCCCCAGACCCAGAGCUCUUAGAGGACAAGGACUCUGUGUCACCACCCCCCCCCG
rnacentral:lncRNA from 1 species